CUCGUUCUGACCAGAAUUCAACAUGGCCGCCGGAGGUGCUGUAGAUGCCGAGCUUGUGCGUUGUGAGGUUCCUCCCUUGGUGUCGUUGCUCAUCAGCAGACUCCGGUUCAUCUGGUGGCCGCAUUAUUACCUUGACUUCCAGCUGAGUGGAGGCUUUGAGGAUAAGGGAUCUUACUCAAGCGCUGGAAUUUCAACUCUAGACCUUCCAAUCAGUAGCCGAGCGUCUUAACCACAGAUCUCCCGCUGCCUCAUCCUGAAUACUGCAGUCUGCUAGUGAAUGGAGUCUGAAUCUGGGUUCUUCUCGGUAGUGGCUCUGUGAUGAUGGAACAAACGGUGGGAAAGUGAUUAUUUUUCUUCUCCAUGUCCUCAACCGCAGCGCGUGAUUAGGUUAUGGGCCUAAAAUGAUGCCAGACUGGUUUCUUUUUAAUGCAAGAGACCCAUAAAAGUGUCUCAUUAAGUUCAAGUCAGCACCGAUUUCCUGUCUGAGCUGAAAGUAAACGAGCUGCCAGCACACUCUGAAUGCUAACUUCCUCUCAAUGUGUUAUAGUUAUGAUUACAUGUCUGCGUUUUAACAUUUUAACUGCCAUGUGCCCAUAAAACCUUCACACGUUACCAACAUGCAGAGAAAACAUGUAUAUAAAUGGGUAAUAAACAUCAGAAAUCGGCUAAAUAUUAAUUAGCAUUAUUUUAAAC
ensembl:lncRNA